UUUAUUGAAUCUCUUAUAAAUGCUUUUAUAUUAAUAAUGUUGGUUUUCCAACUAUGACGAUAAACGAAUUUCGUAAUAACCAUUGCGGACGUGGGGGCAGUACCCACCACCUCCACCAUACAACUUAUGGGGGUGAACUAGAUUCGACGGGUGACUAAAGGCUAUUCUUUUGUUCGGGAUUGUUCCACCGUGACGGGCUAAUUUAUAAUUGCUAACGAAAGUUACGCACUUGCUGCCUAAUUAACUUUGUUAAUUAAGUAGACGGGGCUUGGGGCACCUGGCAACAGAACGCCCCUUCA
rnacentral:tmRNA from 1 species